rnacentral:rRNA from 1 species
AUUGAACGCUGGCGGCAUGCCUUACACAUGCAAGUCGAACGGCAGCGGACCUUCGGGUGCCGGCGAGUGGCGAACGGGUGAGUAAAGUAUCGGAACGUACCUUUCAGUGGGGGAUAACGUAGCGAAAGUUACGCUAAUACCGCAUAUUCUGUGAGCAGGAAAGCAGGGGAUCGCAAGACCUUGCGCUGAUUGAGCGGCCGAUAUCAGAUUAGCUAGUUGGUGAGGUAAAGGCUCACCAAGGCGACGAUCUGCAGCGGGUCUGAGAGGAUGAUCCGACACACUGGAACUGAGACACGGUCCAGACUCCUACGGGAGGCAGCAGUGGGGAAUUUUGGACAAUAGGGGCAACCCUGAUCCAGCCAUGCCGCGUGAGUGAAGAAGGCCUUCGGGUUGUAAAGCUCUUUCGGCCGGGAAGAAAUCGCUUAGGUUAAUACCCUGAGUGGAUGACGGUACCGGAAUAAGAAGCACCGGCUAACUACGUGCCAGCCGCCGCAGUAAAAC